rnacentral:miRNA from 1 species
GUUUGGUUGCCGUUUUGAGGU